GACGAACGCUGGCGGCGUGCCUAAUACAUGCAAGUCGAACGCAGUGGGGACGGGUGAGUAACACGUGGGUAACCUCCCAUCAGAGUGGUAAAACCUUUGAAAAAGGUGCUAAACCGAUACGUAAGGAUGGACCCGGUGGGAUUUAGCUAGUUGGUGGGGUAACGGCUCACCAAGGCAACGAGGAAUAGCCGACCUGAGAGGGUGAUCGGCCACACUGGGACUUAGACACGGCCAAGACUCCUACGGGAGGCAGCAGUAGGGAAUCUUCGGCAAUGGACGAAAGUCUGACCGAGCAACGCCGCGUGAGUGAAGAAGGUUUUCGGAUCGUAAAACUCUGUUGUUAGAGAAGCGGUAUCUAACCAGAAAGCCACGGCUAACUACGUGCCAGCAGCCGCGGUAAUAC
rnacentral:rRNA from 1 species